AGUUCGGACUGAAGGCUGAAAUUCGCCUUCACAAGUCGGAAUUGCUAGUAAUGGCAGGUCAGCAUACUGCCGUGAAUACGUUCCCGGGCCUUGUACACACCGCCCGUCACACCAUGAGAGUUAGGAAUACCCGAAGCCUGUGAGCUAACUUUUAGAGGCAGCAGUCGAAGGUAGAACUAAUGAUUGGGGUGAAGUCGUAACAAGGUAUC
rnacentral:rRNA from 1 species